UAGCUCAGUGGAAAGAGCAUGAGGGUGGAAAACCCAAAGUCGUGGGUUCAAUUCCUAC
rnacentral:tRNA from 1 species